GUGACGCUGUCGGAGGUAUUUUGGGUCAUUUGGUUUCCUCAGAAUGUCCGGCAGCCCGGAGAACCCUGCCCACAGAAAUCAACUAAACAUGUGUUCAGUCCACGCUGUAUAUAUCUGGAGGAUUCAAGUGAAGUGAGAAGCUGCAGAUGCUCUCAAUGAAGCGGAUCCAGGGAAGGGCUUUGGAAAGUGGUCGAGGUCGAUCAUUACAUUCUUUGUGAGCUUUACAUGGUGUUUGCUGUGACUACAACAAAGAAAGAGCCCAACAACUCUUCAGAAGACAGACCUGCUGCCACAGCUUCUAAAUGAAUGUGAAGUGUCCCACACUGUCACACUAAGUUCAGACUGAAUGUGUCCUUCAGCGCCACCUGCCGGCAGAGGUGUGUGUGUGCAGCAGUGCAGACUGUAAAAGCUGACACAGAGUGUGACUGUGAGUUUCAGUCAGACUGUAGAUUGAUGUUGUUGUAGCCGUACUGACUGAACCUGAUGACUCUUCACCUCUGUGUCCUCUCACAGAGAGAAGAUGAUCCUGCUGCUCCUCAUCCUCACCUCCUCAGCAGCAGCACUUGAAGUGAAGGAGACACAGAGCUCCUAUCAGGCAGAGGAGAACCACCACAUCACACUGGAGUGGACGUUCCCCACAGACACUCAGACUAAGACUGAGGACAUUCAUGUCCUCUGUUCUCAUUUAACCAGACGGAAAGAAUCAGUCCUGUAUCUGGUCCAUGCUGGUGUUGAGCUCUCAGAGUCUGUGGAUGAAGGUUUUUCAGGAAGAGUCCAGAGUGACACAGACGCCCUCAGAGAAGGACGAAUCAGACUUCAUCUGUCCAGACUCAGGACUGAAGACUCUGGUCUGUAUGUGUGUGAUGUGAGGACAGCUUCUGGUUCUGGUUCUUCCAGCUGUGAGCUCACAGUCUCUGCAGCUGCUGCUCAGACACACACUGACAGACCAGCUUUGAGUCCAGCUCUGAGUCCACCAGCAGACACAGGAGGACGGACAGGAGACAUCAUUGGACUGAUAGGUCUAAUAGUAGCAUUACUGAAUGUGGUAAUAACACUGGUUUUACUUUAUUUUGUCAUAAAAAACUCUUCCAAUCUGAGGCGUUUAUCAAAGAGACAACCCAGCAGCACUAACAGGACUCCUCUCCAAGAAGGUCAGCCAUUAAAUCUUCUUGUACAGAGUCCUACAGUGAUCAGACCUGAAGACUCUCCUCCUCCAUCUUCAUCAUCUAAGCUGUGAGUGGUGUGCAGACCUCCUCUUCCUCUGAUGGAUCGUCUGUCUGAGGAUCAGUGGGUGCACUAUGAUCAGAAACAUUGACACAUGUCUGUUGAAGCUGUCCUCAUGCUGUCAUGUCUCCUCAUGGAUCAUCAGUCAAACAGCAGCAGCUGUGAUACUCACAGUCUGCAGACAUGUUUGUUCCUCUUCAUGGUCACUGAGGUCUUCUUUAAUACACACUGUUGAUCCACACACAGCUAGUUAUCAAUGAUCGAUCCAUCAGCUGGGACAAUAGAAGAAGUAUUGUUGUCCUCAUAAUGUUGCAGCCAUUUUGUGUGCGUCAUCAACACAUCAGAUUAAAUCAACACAAACCUGCUGCACAACAACCAGCAGUCAGACAGGACAGGUGUGACAGGACUUGUUUACAUUUGACACAUCAUCUCUUUAACAACCACUAUUUUUACUUCCUUCUUUAAAAAUAUUAAGUUCCUGCUUUUUGUUGUAAACAGUCAAACCCUCAAACUCAAACUCAAAUGUUCACCCUGGUCAUUUUAUGGGGUUUUGUAUUUUAAUCACCUGUUUUUUUUUACCGUCUGAACUAUCACAAGAUUUUUUAACUAUUGCAUGACUCCGCGAGAUGUCGCAAUAUUAUAGUUAUAGUUAUAGUUAGUUCCGCGUCUCUGUUUUAAAAAAUGGCCGCGCCCUGCUCAGAGCACUGCCUAGCCUGUUAGCCUAGCUCCGAGCUGAUGCUUUGUGACUAGUCGGACAGUGUUGGUUGUAGCGCUAACUACACUUGUCCAUGUGUUAUUAGAGUCAUUUAGCACAGUCAUUUAUAAAUGAAGUCAAUCAUGUACAUGUGGAAACUUUAAGAAUGUUUAAGUAUUGUUGACAUACUGACUGGAAAAAAGUUAAUAUUAUGUCUGAUGUAAUGUUAAUUGUUGGACCUGUUUUACACCAGGUCCUACAUGCAGAUCUAAACCAUGAACUGUUCUGUUUACUCUUUUGCCAACUUGGAAUUCUGAGA
ensembl:lncRNA